rnacentral:lncRNA from 1 species
GAAUUAGGGUUUUCUCUUUUUGGUGUUCAAAUUUCUGAAAUUGAAAGAAUAACAAAAAUUGUCAAAGGAUUGAAAAAAGAACCAAAGAGAAAUUGAUGAACAAUGAUUAUUACUUACCAGAAAAUCAGAGUUUAAGAGAAAGAAGAAGCCAUGAAGCUUUUUCCGUGGUGUUUUGAAUGAAGAAAGUACUUUUCUUGGAAGAGAAAACCUUUUUUAUUUUAUUUUUAAGAAGGGGGAUAUAUCAUAUAUAUUCCUCCUUUGGUGUGGUUAAGUUAAGCUUCCAUGUUGCCUGUCUGUUAAAGGCUUUCUGUUUUUUUAUUUUAUAUAAAUUUUAUAAUUAUGUAAAGUUUGAAUGCAAAAAUAAUAUCACAAAAGGCUAGGCAGUAGAACGACAUCAAGGAGCAUCGAACUAAGGCCCUUUUGCCAAAGAGAGAUACGCUCCAUCGAACUCCCCUAAACACGCUGUUGUGAAAAUAUCCAAACGCUAUACUAUAUAUACGAGUCAUAUGAUAUUAAAAUAUAUAUAUAUAUAUAAUAUAAAUAAUUUUUUUUUCGGGGGCCCUUAAGAAUCGGAGGCCCUGUGCGGUGGCGCCACUUGCACCACCCCAGGGCCGCCCCUGAUGAUUCAUUUGCAUGACUAUCAGUCAACGAGGCUAAGUGGAGAUGUUAGCAUUUUGGGGCCAUCAAUUUAAACUAUUAUGAAAUUCUCGUACAAAGUUUAGCUGGACUGGGAAGGGUAAUGUUUGAGGUAAAUGUGUUCUUUGACGGUCUGCGUGACAAUUUUUCCUCAUUUGCGUUAUGGUUAGGUAAAAAUUAUAGGAAAAUGGUUAAGUAAAUGCCUAGAAAAACUCACAUUAUUAAUUAUUUUUUAUAUAUGACACCUCCUUUUAUUAAUAACAAUAAUGCUAGAUUCACUAAAUUCAUUCACUAAAUUUGUUCACUAACAUGAUUAUUUGUUGUUAAUAAGUAUGAUCUAAAAGUGACCCAAAUUUGAACCAAUUCAACAUUGGUGUCCCUAAGCACUUCUCUAUUGAUAACUUAGGUGGUGGAACCUCAUUUGCCUUAACUACUUAACCAACUAUUCUUGAGUGUGACGUUAAUUCACGUGUCCUUAUAUGAAUGAACAAUCAUUUAUAUUUAACAGGUAAAGUAUUAAUAAAUAAAAUACUUUAUUAUAACAUGAGUGAAUUGUAAUAACAGAUGUCAUAGUAUGAUCGCACCUACAUUAUCAGACCUGUUGAUGCAGUCCUUACUAUCGUAUGAUAAAUAGAUGCUUGAAAACUUGAUCUUUUUUGUUAGUUGCAAAAGAAGCCCUUGACAUUAUUGGGGAAUAUGAAUAUACGAAGCCAAUUAUGUAAGAGAUAUCUUCCAUGAAGCCCUCCUAGCCCAUGUCACAUUGGUUUGAUGCCGGAGAGCAAACUACAGUGGAAAGAAACCUCCAUGAGAAAAUUUGCAACAUCAACUCUUUUUACCACUAACCCAAUAAUUCCAUUAUUUUCCUCAUACAUAUUAGUUUGUGCCGUGAACUCAGCCAUGAAUGCAUUCUCCUCUAUCCACAUCUUUGCUGCUAAAAAGUAAUUAUCAAAUAUGAGAUAGAAUUCAACAAACAGAUUAGUAGUGGUAAUCAAAAUAAAUGACAUUUUAGUUUCCUCCACGAUCUCAAUUUAGAUUGUAAUUAUUUUUCUAAAAUACCAAUUAUCGUAUAUUUUGUACUCGUU